GAAAUGCGAUAAGUAGUGUGAAUUGCAGAAUUCAGUGAAUCAUCGAAUCUUUGAACGCACAUUGCGCCCUUUGGUAUUCCUUAGGGCAUGCCUGUUCGAGCGUCAUCUAAACCUUCAAGCCCUGCUUGGUGUUGGGUGCCUGUCCCUCCUCUGCGCGCGGACUCACCUCAAAUCCAUUGGCGGCCCCCGCGUCGGCCACGAGCGCAGCAGAAACGCGAACUCGUGAGCCCGUCCGGGCGGCUCCCAGAAGCUACACCCACCCAGUUUGACCUCGGAUCAGGUAGGGAUACCCGCUGAACUUAAGC
rnacentral:misc_RNA from 1 species